rnacentral:rRNA from 1 species
AUUGAACGCUGGCGGCAGGCCUAACACAUGCAAGUCGAGCGCGAAAGCACUUCGGUGUGAGUAGAGCGGCGGACGGGUGAGUAACGCGUAGGAAUCUACCUGGUAGUGGGGGACAACUCGGGGAAACUCGAGCUAAUACCGCAUACGCCCUACGGGGGAAAGCGGGGGACCUUCGGGCCUCGCGCUAUCAGAUGAGCCUGCGUUGGAUUAGCUAGUUGGUGGGGUAAUGGCCUACCAAGGCGACGAUCCAUAGCUGGUCUGAGAGGAUGAUCAGCCACACCGGGACUGAGACACGGCCCGG